GUGCACGCCUCAGCAGCACAUAUACUAAAAUUAGAAUGAUACAGAGAAGAUUAGCAUGGCCCCUGUGCAAGGAUGAUAUGCAAAUUCGUGAAGCAUUCCAUACUUUU